CUACGGGCUGCUGCAGUGGGGAAUUUUGCGCAAUGGGGGAAACCCUGACGCAGCAACGCCGCGUGAAGGAUGAAGGCCCUUGGGUCGUAAACUUCUGUCAGUGGGGAAGAAAUGCCCGUAAGGGAGCUGACGGUACCCACAAAGGAAGCACCGGCUAACUCCGUGCCAGCAGCCGCGGUAAUACGGAGGGUGCAAGCGUUGUUCGGAAUUAUUGGGCGUAAAGAGCAUGUAGGCGGACUAUUAAGUCUGGUGUGAAAGCCCGGGGCUCAACCCCGGAGGUGCAUUGGAUACUGGUAGUCUUGAGUAUGGGAGAGGAAAGUGGAAUUCCGAGUGUAGGAGUGAAAUCCGUAGAUAUUCGGAGGAACACCAGUGGCGAAGGCGGCUUUCUGGACCAAUACUGACGCUGAGAUGCGAAAGCGUGGGGAGCGAACAGGAUUAGAUACCCUGGUAGUC
rnacentral:rRNA from 1 species